GACGAACGCUGGCGGCGUGCUUAACACAUGCAAGUCGAACGGAAAGGCCUGCUUUCCCUUGUGGCUUGCGGGUACUCGAGUGGCGAACGGGUGUGUAACACGUGUGUGAUCUGCCCCCAACUUGGGUAUAAGCCUGGGAAACUGGGUCUAAUUCCCGAUAGGACUGCAGGGUGCUGCCUGUGGUUGAAAACGAUUUUCUAGUGGUUGGGGAUGAGCUCGCGGCCUAUCAGCUUGUUGGUGGGGUAAUGGCCUACCAAUGCGGCGACGGGUAGCCAGCCUGAGAGGCUGGACGGGGACAUUGGGACUGAGAUGCCGCACUGACACCGACGGGAGGCAGCAGUUGGGAAGAGAGGACAAGGGGCGGAAGCCUGAGGCAGCGGCGACGCCGGGAGGAUGACGGCCUUCGAGUUGUAAACUCCUUUCGGACGCGAGGAAGCCACCUAGAUGGAAGGGUGGUGACGGUAGUGGUAGAAGAAGCCCCGGCUAACUACGUG
rnacentral:rRNA from 1 species